GAUAAACGCUGGCGGCGCACAUAAGACAUGCAAGUUGAACGGACUUAAUCGAAAUAUUUAUAUUUUGAAGCGGUUAGUGGCGGACUGGUGAGUAACGCGUAAGGAACCUGCCUAUUAGAGGGGAAUAACAGUGAGAAAUCAUUGCUAAUACCGCAUAUGCCAUAGAUAUCACAUGAUAACAGUGGGAAAGGAGCAAUCCGCUAAUAGAUGGCCUUGCGUCUGAUUAGAUAGUUGGUGGGGUAACGGCCUACCAAGUCGACGAUCAGUAGCCGGUCUGAGAGGUUGAACGGCCACAUUGGGACUGAGAUACGGCCCAGACUCCUACGGGAGGCAGCAGUCGGGAAUAUUGCGCAAUGGAGGAAACUCUGACGCAGUGACGCCGCGUAUAGGAAGAAGGUUUUCGGAUUGUAAACUAUUGUCGUUAGGGAAGAGAAAGGACAGUACCUAAGGAGGAAGCUCCGGCUAACUACGUG
rnacentral:rRNA from 1 species